UUGGGUUUCUUUUGACAAGAAAUGGAAUUGUUUUACCGAGAGUGUAUGCUAAUUUUCACGCACACAGAUGUCUAAGACCAACGUACGGAAUAUCAUUGCCUGGGGUUUUUGUCGAUGCAGAAUUGACACCACAUGGUUGCAGUGAAUGAGAAAAGUGCUGAAAAGUAUUAUCGAAAGCUCCGUGCUAUCAUUAUAUAAAGUGGGAUAUUAAGAAUGAAGGAUACAAUUGAAUUAUUAGUUGUCGCCGCGACUGUCUUCAACGUUUUUGCGGAAAAUCACACAACGCCCAGAUACUGCUUGAGGCCGAAAGCGCCUGGCAAGAUAUGCGGGGGAGGCCCGUUUACCUCAUGGUAUUUCGAUUCCCACAGUCGUUUUUGCAAAGCCUUCACCUUCGGUGGAUGCAAUGGGAACCUGAACAGGUUUUCUUCCGAAAGACAGUGUCAGCGAUGGUGCUUACGUGGAAUUCCAGAGAAACCGCUGUGUAGCUUGGAUCAAGUUCAAGGACAUGGCAUCGGCCGCUUCUUCGCCUGGUCAUAUGACUCCAAAGUAGACCAUUGUCGUCCAUUUCUGUACAGUGAUUGGGGUGGCAAUGCUAACAACUUUGGAAGUUGUCUUGAGUGCAUGAAUAGAUGCAGUGGAAACGAAUACGCUACGUAUAUAUGCCAUAUUCUGAAUUAUCAGAUUAUGGUGUACUACUACAAGAGACUUCCAUUCAGCUUUGGCGGACAUAAAUGAACAGCGUGAUGUUGUCUUUCGGUCGAAAAGAAAUAAAAAAAUUGGAGUAGUCAGUUAUAAGAAAUUCUAGUAUGACCUAACUA